CAGAAACCUUAGGGGCGAGAUCGUUAGGUCGGUUAGUGGAAAUCAAGCUUUUAUCGGGUGCGACGGGUAGACUGGCGGGCUACCGGGUCAAAAUUCCUCGGGAAGUUUAAGUGCAGACCUCCGAGUCACGCGAGACCCCUUGCUUUUGAGUGUCGGGGUGGGCCCGAAAACCUAACUGGAGAAAUUCUUCCUCCACAGACAAGUUUUGAGAAUCACUGCCCUGGUCAAAACGGAUUUCAAGGCGGCCCUCACCCGCUAACUUAAGGGAGCUGCAGGAGAGGGCUCACCUGCCCAGGCAGCCUCGGGGGCCAAUUGAGCCACGGUUCACUCGACCGCCCGCUCGGCGCUUGGGAGAGCCGGGGAAGAGUGGCCCCGGCCAGAUCAGCGCCGCCGCAGAGCUCUCGGGGAGACGCCGUCGAUGGGGCGGCGGGGCCCGCGCCUGCGCCCUGGAGGUGCUGGCGCUAUGGAGCCCGUCGCGGGCGCAGUCGUGAGGAGUGUUCCUGUGUCCCGUGGCGCUCUCCUGUCAGCCCAGGGUCCCACCGCUGGCGGCUGGAUGUUCCUCAGGGCCGGUCGGGACCCAGCCCGCACUGGCUUCUCAUUUUAAACUUGUCGGGGGCGUGCCUUUUUCUUGUUCACCUCUCUUGUAGGUCCACCGUGAAUUUUCACAGUGAGAGGUGAAAGGAAGGUUGAUUUCUUGGCCGGUGCAGUCCAGGCUUUGUGCUGCUGAGGGGAGGGCUGCCCAGCAGUGAGGCAGGUGUCCACGGCCCAGACCGGCUCAGCUAGUCCAUUGCCUCCAGCGAGGGUUAGGCUUGUGGUCUCAGCCGUGGGGUUGAAUCGUGAAAAACAGUAAUCGUUUGUUGAGCCCCUGCUGACAUGCAUCUGGAUGCUCAUGGCACAGAAAAUUGAAGUGGAUCCAUGGAUUUCAUCAAGUUCUCUAAAUGAUGAAAAAGAUUAGAAAACACUAUUUUAAGGCUUGGUGAAAAGUACGAGAAGUAAGUAUGCCCUUGAGUAACCACUGUUGAUUUUACUUUCUUAAACAAUUGGUACUUGAACAAUGCAGUGCGGGUUUGGGGCUCUAACUCUGCACAGUGGAAAAUUCAUGUAAACUUUACAGUUGGCCUUCCAUAUCUGCAUCCAUGGAUUCAGCCAACCAUGACACAUGGAUUGUAUAGUACUGUAACACAUAUUUAGUGAAAAAUUCCCAUGUGUAAGUGGAUUCUGUAAGGCCGGCCCCCGGGGGCCAUGAUGAGCCGCCUCUCUCCUGCCGGCAGGAAAGUCCCUAACGGAAGGAUCCUCCCAGAUCCCCAGGACCAAUGAUAGUACACUUCACCAGCUAAAACAAUCCCCACCCCAGCUGCAUAAAAGACCUAUCAGCCUGCAACACCUCGACCUAACAACCUAUCCGAACCCCCAUCUACUAACCGUACCUUUUUUGGCGAUCUUGCCAGACCAUCCCUCACAAGGAACCUAGAUAAACCACCCCCCAACAUGGUCCGGGCACGGACUUCCUCAACCUGCCUCGUUCGGGUCCGGGAACCCCGCCUGGUAGCGCUUCGCCAUUAAAGCCUGUUAGACACUCUUUUUGGUGUCCUG
ensembl:lncRNA